UCCCUGGUGGUCUAGUGGUUGUGACCUGGCACUUUCACUGCUGUGGCCAUGGUUCAAUCCCUGGUCUGGGAA
rnacentral:tRNA from 1 species